rnacentral:rRNA from 1 species
UAUACCGUGAAACUGCGAAUGGCUCAUUAAAUCAGUUAUCGUUUAUUUGAUAGUACCUUACUACUUGGAUAACCGUGGUAAUUCUAGAGCUAAUACAUGCUGAAAAUCCCGACUUCGGAAGGGGUGUAUUUAUUAGAUAAAAAACCAAUGCCCUUCGGGGCUCCUUGGUGAUUCAUAAUAACUUCUCAGAUCGCAUGGCCUUGCGCCGGCGACGGUUCAUUCAAAUUUCUGCCCUAUCAACUUUCGAUGGUAAGGUAUUGGCUUACCAUGGUUUCAACGGGUAACGGGGAAUUAGGGUUCGAUUCCGGAGAGGGAGCCUGAGAAACGGCUACCACAUCCAAGGAAGGCAGCAGGCGCGCAAAUUACCCAAUCCCGACACGGGGAGGUAGUGACAAUAAAUACUGAUACAGGGCUCUUUUGGGUCUUGUAAUUGGAAUGAGUACAAUUUAAACCUCUUAACGAGGAACAAUUGGAGGGCAAGUCUGGUGCCAGCAGCCGCGGUAAUUCCAGCUCCAAUAGCGUAUAUUAAAGUUGUUGCAGUUAAAAAGCUCGUAGUUGAACCUUUGGCCUGGCUGGCAGGUCCGCCUCACCGCGUGCACUUGUCCGGCCGGGCCUUUUCUUCUGGAGAACCGCAUGCCCUUCACUGGGUGUGUUGGGGACCAGGACUUUUACUUUGAAAAAAUUAGAGUGUUCAAAGCAGGCCUUUGCUCGAAUACGUUAGCAUGGAAUAAUAGAAUAGGACGUGCGGUCCUAUUUUGUUGGUUUCUAGGACCGCCGUAAUGAUUAAUAGGGACCGUCGGGGGCAUCAGUAUUCAAUUGUCAGAGGUGAAAUUCUUGGAUUUAUUGAAGACUAAAUACUGCGAAAGCAUUUGCCAAGGAUGUUUUCAUUAAUCAGUGAACGAAAGUUAGGGGAUCGAAGACGAUCAGAUACCGUCGUAGUCUUAACCAUAAACUAUGCCGACUAGGGAUCGGGCGGUGUUAUUAUUUUGACUCGCUCGGCACCUUACGAGAAAU